GAGAAUAAGAAGCGCCUCAUGUUGCUAGAGUUACAGUACCUACCCCUAGGUAUUCUUUGUUCAUUUCCUCCCAAAUUAUCUUUUCGUACCGUGUCUCUUCCUCAUUGUGAAGAUACCCGUCAACCUACAAAAUUAAUGGAGAAUUAGAGAUAACAAAUAACAAAUAACCUAUCACAUACAUCAUAUGCCCAGAAGUGAUUAUGCGUCCAAAUACUUGAACCGCCGAUGAGUGAAUGUUUUCUCGACUAUGUAAGGUAUAACUGCUAUCAAGGAAAUUAGGUUCAACACGUCCCCCCUACUAUUUCCUGGCAACAGUAAUCCAAAUGAAUGGUAGAAAACGAUCAAACCAAUGAUAACAAUGAUUUAGGUAAAUAAUCAUCAGGAGACACAAAACAUUCAGCUAGGUUCAGACUAUGCUAUCAUCAGUGGGACUAUAGGGAACCUUAGUAAAAGUUAGGACAGUUUGACUAAUAUAUGAAGGCUUUUGUAAGAAAUUCAGAUUUGUUUUAUAAUAAUACAAAAUUAUAUAGCGAUCCAGAAGAGUGAUUUACACUACUGCCGGAGCUUUGUCCUCUUAUUAAUUAUGUUCCUCAAGGCGAAAGUAAUUAAUGGUAUAGCAAGCAGUACAACUUAAUGGACAUCUGCACAUCUGGCGGGCAUACUUCUGCUGUUGCUUUCUCACCCAAAAGUGAAUUGGAUACAAUGCUAGGUCUUCAGACUACAUUUAAGGCAACUAAUUGUCGUCCCUGAACAU
rnacentral:lncRNA from 1 species